rnacentral:tRNA from 1 species
GCCUGGUGGCUCAUGUGGAGCAUGUGACUUUUGAUCUCAGGGUUGUAAAUUUGAGCCCCUGGAUUGGGUG